rnacentral:rRNA from 1 species
UACAGAGGAGGCAAGCGUUGUUCGGAAUCACUGGGCUUAAAGCGCGUGUAGGCGGCCAUGCAAGUACUUUGUGAAAUCCCUCGGCUCAACCGGGGAAUUGCUUGGUAUACUGCAGGGCUUGAGGCGGGUAGGGGUGCUUGGAACUCUAGGUGGAGCGGUGAAAUGCGUAGAUAUCUAGAGGAACGCCUGUGGCGAAAGCGGAGCACUGGGCCCGUCCUGACGCUAAGACGCGAAAGCGUGGGGAGCAAACAGG